UCCCAUAUGCUCUAGUGGUUAGGAUUUGGCGUUUUCACCGCCAAGGCCCGGGUUCAAUUCCCGGUGUGGGAA
rnacentral:tRNA from 1 species